rnacentral:rRNA from 1 species
ACGGCUCAGUAACACGUGGACAACCUACCCUCCGGACGGGUAUAAACCCGGGAAACUGGGUAUAAUCCCCGAUAGAUCUCGGUCGCUGGAAAGCCCCGAGAUCGAAAGCUCCGGCGCCAGAGGAUGGGUCUGCGGCCUAUCAGGUAGUAGUGGGUGUAGCGUACCUACUAGCCUACGACGGGUACGGGUUGUGAGAGCAAGAGCCCGGAGAUGGAUUCUGAGACACGAAUCCAGGCCCUACGGGGUGCAGCAGGCGCGAAAACUUUACAAUGCCGGCAACGGCGAUAAGGGGACCUCGAGUGCCAGGUUACAAAUCUGGCUGUCGUGAUGCCUAAAAAGCAUUGCAUAGCAAGGGCCGGGCAAGACCGGUGCCAGCCGCCGCGGUAACACCGGCGGCUCGAGUGGUAACCGUUAUUAUUGGGUCUAAAGGGUCUGUAGCCGGCCGGAUAAGUCUCUUGAGAAAUCCAGCAGCUCAACUGUUGGGCUUUCAGGAGAUACUGUUCGGCUCGAGGCCGGGAGAGGUGAGAGGUACUUCAGGGGUAGGGGUGAAAUCUUGUAAUCCUUGAAGGACCACCAGUGGCGAAGGCGUCUCACCAGAACGGACCUGACGGCAAGGGACGAAAGCUAGGGGCACGAACCGGAUUAGAUACCCGGGUAGUCCUAGCCGUAAACGAUACUCGCUAGGUGUCGGCCACGGUGCGACCGUUGUCGGUGCCGUAGGGAAGCCGUGAAGCGAGCCACCUGGGAAGUACGGCCGCAAGGCUGAAACUUAAAGGAAUUGGCGGGGGAGCAC